UGGGGAAUUUUGCACAAUGGGGGAAACCCUGAUGCAGCGACGCCGCGUGAUUUAGAAGGCCUUCGGGUUGUAAAAAUCUUUUCUAUGGGAAGAAAAUGACAGUACCAUAGGAAUAAGGACCGGCUAAUUAUGUGCCAGCAGCCGCGGUAAUACGUAAGGUCCGAGCGUUGUCCGGAAUCAUUGGGCGUAAAGGGUACGUAGGCGGGUAAGCAAGUUAGAAGUGAAAUCCUAUAGCUCAACUAUAGUAAGCUUUUAAAACUGCUCAUCUUGAGGUAUGGAAGGGAAAGUGGAAUUCCUAGUGUAGCGGUGAAAUGCGCAGAUAUUAGGAGGAAUACCGGUGGCGAAGGCGACUUUCUGGCCAUAACCUGACGCUGAGGUACGAAAGCGUGGGUAGCAAACAGG
rnacentral:rRNA from 1 species